UCUCAGGAGCUAAUUAGCUUACUGUGAACCUUAUAGUAAUAAUAAGUAUAGUUCAACAUUUAUCAAAAUCAGUGACUAUUUCUUUAUAAUGAAUAGCUGUGGAUUUAAAAUAUAAACUCUACUGAAAUUAUUCUGGGGAAGAGGAAAAAUAAUGGUAAAGAAAGACGCACCGCCGCCAUUAAUCUGCCUGCUACACUGCCCGCACUACGUUACUUCCGCCCUUCCUCAGUAUGCCUACCUCUGACGUCAGUAAUCCCAUCAUUCAACACGGUCCCUACCCAGCAUACCUCUCUUCUUCCUGUCCCUCCUCCAUAAAUGUUCAUCCUCCGCCAUCUUAGGGCGGUCAAGACUGUUGUGAAGACGCAUUGACCGCAGACUACAGCUGAAGAUCUAAAGUGGAAUGCUUUUGGAAAUCUGACCUCUCGCUGCUCAGGACUACUGGUAGGACCAUCCAUCCAUCCAUUAUCCAACCUGC